UGGGUUCAUUAGGUACCUAUUUGGAGAUGGACACUGAUGGGGGUGCCGAUGGACUCAAAUAUGAGUGCUUGCUCUUUGAUUUGGAUGAUACUUUGUAUCCUAUGAGCUCAGGUCUCAACUUGGCUUGCCGAAAGAACAUAGAAGAGUUCAUGUUGCAUCACUUGCAUAUUGAAGAAAGUGAAGUUCCAAGGAUGUGCCUGGAAUUGUAUAGAGAAUAUGGAACAACAAUGGCUGGUCUGAAGGCUCUUGGUUAUGAAUUUGAUGAUGAUGAGUUCCAUGCUUUUGCUCAUGGAAGAUUGCCUUAUGAAAAACUGAAGCCUGAUGCUGUAUUAAGGAACCUUCUACUUUCCUUGCCACAAAGGAAAAUAAUCUUCACUAACGCUGAUAAGGCACAUGCAGCUGAAGUUCUGAAAAGGUUGGGAUUGGAAGAUUGUUUUGCAGGAAUCAUAUGCUUUGAAACUCUUAAUCCUCCUGUUGGAGCUACUAAUUACACGGAUGCAUUAGAAAAUGAUGCGGUACUUGCAGGAGGUGAACCAAAGCUCAUUGAUCUUGAUGAUGCUGACAAAGAACGUUCCCACCCCAAGCCACAAAUCCUCUGCAAACCCUCUCUGGAGGCUAUUGAAGCCGCCAUCCGAAUUGCAAAUGUUGACCCCAAGAGAACAAUCUUCUUUGAUGACAGUGCUAGGAACAUUGCAAGUGGAAAAGCAGCAGGCCUUCAUACAGUUAUUGUAGGGAGCUCAGUCCUAGUGCCAGGUGCAGACUAUGCUUUGAGCAGCAUCCACAACAUCAAAGAAGCAAUACCCCAAAUAAUAUGGGAGGGCGAAGGAGAGCAACAGGAACAGAUUAUCCAGUCUAGGGCAUUUGAAACUGUUGUCCUUGGUUAGUUUUCUCCUUAGUUCAUACAUACAUACAAAAAUCCAGGUAUCAAGGGGACUUUAAAGUAAAGGCUAAAGGAGGGGGACAAUGGAUGAUGGCUAAAUUCAAAACCAUCAUGUUGAUUUCAUUAUAAAUCAUUAUUAGAAGAGUUAGAAGCUCAUUGUGUCUGAUAUGUUCAUUUACCAAGCUAACCCCAUAGGUGGUGGCACUAAGGACAAGGAAAAUAUGGUUACUAUUAAUCUAGCCAAGCCUUGUUCAGUUUAGAUUGUAACGCAAAAAGUAUUUGCAUUUAUGUUCACAUAGCAGUAGUACAUGC
rnacentral:misc_RNA from 1 species